AUGCGCCUACGGGGCGCAGCAGUGAGGAAUAUUGGUCAAUGGUCGGGAGACUGAACCAGCCAAGCCGCGUGAGGGAUGAAGGUACAGAGUAUCGUAAACCUCUUUUGUCAGGGAACAAAGGCGGGGACGCGUCCCCGGAUGGGUGUACCUGAAGAAAAAGCAUCGGCUAACUCCGUGCCAGCAGCCGCGGUAAUACGGAGGAUGCGAGCGUUAUCCGGAUUUAUUGGGUUUAAAGGGUGCGCAGGCGGUCUGUCAAGUCAGCGGUCAAAGCCCGGGGCUCAACCCCGGCCCGC
rnacentral:rRNA from 1 species